UAUGCCAAGAAUUUUAAUUUUAUAAUUCUUAUUUUAAUUUGUUAAUACUUCUUUUAGUAAUAUUGCAGUGAUCUAUGACAAAGUGCCUAAGGAUUAUAUAUUGUCAUAGCAUUAGUUUUGCUAAACACUGUGGACUUAGAAUCUCUGGAGUAAUGGCUAUUAUUAUAAGCAUGGACAUAGGAUUUAUUAGAGUAUUAUACUAAUAUACGAUUAUUAAAAUGUAUUUAAGGGAUACAUCAUGAUCUUGAUGACUUGUAAAGUGAAUUGCAUUUUAAGAACUCAGAACCUAAGCAAAACUUUCUUUGCCAUUCAUACCUCAAAAUCCACAUCGCCAAAACAGCCACAGGUUGUGCAGGGACCAAUGAUUUUCAAAAUAUCUUCUUUGUUUGCAUUUUGAAUUGUGAAUUUGGGCUGAAAGGGGCCCCACUUCUGUGCAACAUAACCAACUAUAGUACCAGGAGGGGCUUGGAUUUCUAGCUGUAAGACAAAAUAGUAAUAAAAUCAGAUUUUCUACAGUUAUAAUUCAUUAAUCACAGAAGAAUAUCAACAUACAUCUAUACAAUAUAUGUUAUUAUUAACUGUUGUAUUAUAAAAGCCAUUAUACAUACAUGUUUCUAGGAUGCAAAGCAGUAUUUUCUUCUGACAUUUUUUAUUAGUAUGCAGGGUGAUUAUUUCCUCUGAGAUUUUGUAUUUUGUCAUGAAAAUGAUAAAAAUUCCUUUCAGUGAUAUAUUUAGCAUUUUCCAUAUAUAUAUAUGUGUGUGUGUGUGUGUGUGUGUGUGUGUGUGUAUUUUGCAGAAUGGAGGAUGAAACCACAUUCUUCUAGCUUACAGAGAUAUCAGAUCAAAUUAGGUCUACAUCAAUAAGAGUUAUUAAAAUUCUACUGACAAUGAUAAUCAAUUAUGUUUUAAAAUAAAGUCACUGUGUUGCAUGCCAUGGGUUUAUUAAAUGUGCAAAUGCUUGGUAUCAUUCUGAGUAUAAUAACACACAGGGAAGAGGACACAGUGGACAAGGUUAAGUGUCAUGGCCUCUCCUGGCAUUGCUACUGUUGAAGAUGUAUUUGUAUAGUGGUGAGAACUGUAGCCAUUACAAUUAUUUGGAUAAUACACAAGCCAGGAGGCUGUCUCAUUUAUAGGAUGCAUGAGCUGUGUUUACCGUUUAAUCUCAUGGUAGCUACCAUAGUUUCAGGUUACAAAUGGAAACAGUGACUCACAAAAUCUUCAUGUUUUCCUUACCCUAAAAAGGAAGAUAUAAAUUCAAACAACUGUAAGGUUUACUGUCUUGUAGUUCCAGAUGAGUGCCAUUUAAAGGAAUAAUCUUAAAAAGAAAAGAUGCUGAGGGGCAGUGACCAACCUCUUGUAGGUAGCAGGGGCACCAACAGCUGUUACACCUUAGGGGCCUGUUCACUGUAAUCACCUCUCGACCCGAGUUGUCUGUGAUCCUCAGGGUGCAGGCUCGCAGCGUGGAACACACAUUACGAUUAAAACAGAUGCUUUCUUCCACCGCAAAGUAAAUUCUUUGUCCCAAGCUGUUUUUGAUCUCAUAUUUGUUGGAGGUCUCAGUGCCGAGGAUCACUGUCGCGAAACACAUCUUAUGAAGACAUGCUUUGAUUGGUAUCACCACUUGUCAAAAGUCAAGGAGUAUUAAUAGAACAUAGAGUCAUGGCAGAGUUACUGAGCGGAUAGUCUCAGCUUCAUUCACAUCUGUUUCUGUGUUCUAAACUUUGAUGACAUAGCCUCAGGAAUCAAAGCGAAGUCUGGGACCAAAACGAACAGCUAAAUUUAUUCUAGAACUAUGAACAAACAUGGUCCACCACCUUUCAACCAUAGGACAGAAUGUGUAGGGAUGGACUCAUUGCUCAGAUACGAACUCUAUUAUUUUUCUGCAAGUUAUUGGGACAAUUCACAGUGCCAUUUAUUACUGUAUCUACAAUUUCUCUUAACAUCCGCAGUAGUAAUGCUGGCCAACUACUUUCCUUCUGAUAUAUAUUGGAGUAAUAUAAGAUCUUAUAAACAAAGAGCACUCAAGUAAUUGGAAAUUUAAUUAAUCAUCCUUAAACACUUUCCUAUGGAUAAAUUGUGUGCAUAUUUUGUUGAGUCAACUGGGAAGCAAGGAAACAAUAGCAUUUGUGUAGAUGAAAUUUUAAUAUGACCUCAACUGUGACUUCCCUUAUUAGAAUGUUAAGAAAUUUUAGUGAUUAAUAUCUGUGGGAUAUUAAUUAUUGCUUAUCACUUCAAGAUUAAAUUUAUUAAAAUUUAAAUGUCACUGUUAUCAAAGACUUAUUUUCAUACUUAUAGUUUCUUUAAGAUUAUUACAUUUAGAUUUGGUUGAAAAAUAGGUCUAGCAGUCAUUUGACCUAAUUCUGUACAUUGCUUAUAACAUGUUCGAUGUAAGGAAUCUUCUGAACACGGCAGCCUUUUCAGGAGUUUUAAUAAGUGCAGAAUCUGAUAUACUUACUCCCAAGAAGUUCCACCUGCUGAUGGAUGAUGAUCAGGUCCAGCUGCAAAGGAUGAGACAAAGAAGUGAAAACCAUUCCAUCACAGCCCUUACUAUGCAACAGGAAGCCUGUCAUUUUUCAUUAAAACAUUUUGAACACCCACCAUGUAUAAGACAAAAGACCAAAGUAGGAAUUCUGUUUGCUUGCAGAAAAUGGAGAGAUGUGAGCAAAGAAGGGGAAAGCAACUUCAGAAAGAUAGAAUGUGGUCAUCAGCUCUGAGAAGUAUCAAGUUAGCCAUGGAUCCCUGAGGGCAGGCUUACAGUUUCUGAGUUUAAGGCCACUCUGUUGCUGCUCUCAAUUUAUAAAAUGAGAGGCAUUUGGACCAGGCUACUGUCUGUGCUCAAGAAGUAUUUAUCAAGGGGGAGAUAGCGCCGUCUUGAAAGUAAAACGUCUACUUGGAGAAAGUCCCCUAACUCCGUGGCUGAAAGAGCUUCUUAAAACCAACACAGAGAAAGAAAAACAAAUGAUAAUAAUUUAGAAGACCCGAAAGAAAGGAAAAAAAGCCCUAGACAUCUAGCAGAACACGUCCGACUUGUCAUUAAUGGACAAUAUUUCCUGAGCUAGAAGUGAAACAUUUGGAAACCCAAGAUGGAAGUUUAAGUAAAAAUCAACAAAGGUGGCAGCUGCUGUGGGAUCGAAAGGGGGCCCUUCGAUUCAUCUCUUCACCUUCAAGCUUCUUUAAUGGAGAAUUUGAUGAAUUUAGCCGGGAGGAGAGUCUACAAAGAACAUGAGGUAAUCUAUUGUAAUGUUUAAUUGACUUUCCCUUCUGGAGAGGAAGUUCUUAAAUCUACAGAAACGCUUUGUGCAGGAAUUUUAGUAUCACUUGAAAAAAAAAAAAAACCAAAAACGGGAAGCCUGGUCCCUCGCCUUUGUGUCCCUUUCCCAGCCCCUUUGUCUCUUUCAUUUCAAAAGCAGCAUCCUAAAAUAUAUGUCAAUAUUUGCCUUUCCGGCCUCCCACCCCCACCUGCCACCCAUUCACUCUGUAGAGAAGUGACCUCAG